GAAAUUCAAUCCCAUUUCUCUAGUCUGACAAACUGUACUAAAUGGUAAAAUGGAUUUUUAUUGCUUUCAGCCAUUUUCAUUCCAGCUGCUAUCACUAGACUGAAAUUUGUCUUGAACUUUGAGAAGUGAAGAGUAAAAUUUUAUUACAUUGAGCCAAAACCCUGGCCAGGGUGUGAUGCAGCCCUUGAUGCAAUUCUUGAUCAGCAGAGGCCAGCAGCACUGAAUGGGCACCGACACCCACACUGGCCCUGAGCUUAUCCACUCCAAGAGGGCAGCUGGGUUCCAUGGGCCUGGGACAGGUGUGGAG